rnacentral:rRNA from 1 species
CCUACGGGUGGCAGCAGUGGGGAAUAUUGCACAAUGGGGGAAACCCUGAUGCAGCGACGCCGCGUGAGUGAAGAAGUAUCUCGGUACGUAAAGCUCUAUCAGCAGGGAAGAAAAUGACGGUACCUGACUAAGAAGCCCCGGCUAACUACGUGCCAGCAGCCGCGGUAAUACGUAGGGGGCAAGCGUUACCCGGAUUUACUGGGUGUAAAGGGCGCGUAGACGGGAGAGCAAGUCAGGUGUGAAAUGCCGGGGCCUAACCCCAGAACUGCAUUGGAAACUGUGAUGCUGGAGUGCGGGAGAGGUAAGCGGAAUUCCUGGUGUAGCGGUGAAAUGCGUAGAGAUCAGGAGGAACAC